rnacentral:rRNA from 2 species
GUUCGGGUUGUCAUGCCAAUGGCACUGCCCGGUAGCUAAAUGCGGAAGAGAUAAGUGCUGAAAGCAUCUAAGCACGAAACUUGCCCCGAGAUGAGUUCUCCCUGACUCCUUGAGAGUCCUGAAGGAACGUUGAAGACGACGACGUUGAUAGGCCGGGUGUGUAAGCGCAGCGAUGCGUUGAGCUAACCGGUACUAAUGAACCGUGAGGCUUAACCUUACAACGCCGAAGCUGUU